GAUGAACGCUGGCGGCGUGCCUAAUACAUGCAAGUCUAGCGAACAGACGAGGAGCUUGCUCCUUUGACGUUAGCGGCGGACGGGUGAGUAACACGUAGGUAACCUACCUAUAAGACUGGGAUAACUUCGGGAAACCGGAGCUAAUACCGGAUAAUAUUUCGAACCGCAUGGUUCGAUAGUGAAAGAUGGCUUUGCUAUCACUUAUAGAUGGACCUGCGCCGUAUUAGCUAGUUGGUAAGGUAACGGCUUACCAAGGCAACGAUACGUAGCCGACCUGAGAGGGUGAUCGGCCACACUGGAACUGAGACACGGUCCAGACUCCUACGGGAGGCAGCAGUAGGGAAUCUUCCGCAAUGGGCGAAAGCCUGACGGAGCAACGCCGCGUGAGUGAUGAAGGUCUUCGGAUCGUAAAACUCUGUUAUUAGGGAAGAACAAACGUGUAAGUAACUGUGCACGUCUUGACGGUACCUAAUCAGAAAGCCACGGCUAACUACGUG
rnacentral:rRNA from 1 species